CGGCCGCGUCGACAUUCGAUGCAACGCGUAGAACCUUACCUGGGUUUGACAUGGAUCGGGAGUGCUCAGAGAUGGGUGUGCCUCUUUUGGGGUCGGUUCACAGGUGGUGCAUGGCUGUCGUCAGCUCGUGUCGUGAGAUGUUGGGUUAAGUCCCGCAACGAGCGCAACCCUUGUUCACUGUUGCCAGCACGUUAUGGUGGGGACUCAGUGGAGACCGCCGGGGUCAACUCGGAGGAAGGUGGGGAUGACGUCAAGUCAUCAUGCCCCUUAUGUCCAGGGCUUCACGCAUGCUACAAUGGCUGGUACAGAGAGUGGCGAGCUAAUCCCGUAAACCCUGCCGUCGACGCGGCCG
rnacentral:rRNA from 1 species